CCUACGGGUGGCAGCAGUGGGGAAUAUUGCACAAUGGGGGAAACCCUGAUGCAGCAACGCCGCGUGAGUGAAGAAGUAUUUCGGUAUGUAAAGCUCUAUCAGCAGGGAAGAAGAUGACGGUACCUGAGUAAGAAGCCCCGGCUAACUACGUGCCAGCAGCCGCGGUAAUACGUAGGGGGCAAGCGUUAUCCGGAUUUACUGGGUGGAAAGGGAGCGUAGACGGAGAGACAAGUCGGAAGGGAAAGCCCGGGGAUCAACCCCGGGACUGCUUGGGAAACUGCCUGACUGGAGUGAUGGAGAGGAAAGCGGAAUUGCGAGGGUAGCGGGGAAAUGCGGAGAUAUUAGGAAGAAAACCAGUGGCGAGGG
rnacentral:rRNA from 1 species